UAUAUAUAUAUAUAUAUAUAUAUAAUCUAUAGGAAUUAACAAUAGUUUCUAGCGUUACAACUGUCCUUACGCUCUUCGUCCUAGUCCCACCAUCAAAAGGUGUGAACACUCUCCGCCCACGCAUUAAUAGACAAACCAAAGGUACAAGAGAUAUAGAGCAUAUUCGCUUGUGUGAAAAACCAACUAAAUAGCUGGCAGAUAAGCUGAAGUCAACGUAACCUUAGAAAGUGGCCAGGGCCACCUGCAUGCCAUGAAAUGUACGUACGCUUCUGCCGGUGCGGCCGUCCGGGGCUUGCCGAGCCGAGUAGUCAAAUCUGCCAACCAUAUGAUGCUAAUUCUGCAAAACUGACGUCGCUAAUUCUUCAAGAGAUGAUGCUGUUUCUGCAAAACUGACCAAACGUGCUGUGAGUGGCAAUGCUGGGUCUUGUUUAGUUCCAAAAAAUUUUGCAAAAUAGAAAUAGUGCCACUUUCGUUUGUAUUUGACAAAUAUUAUCCAAACAUGUACUAACUAGACUCAAAAGAUUCAUCUCGUCAAUUUCGGCCAAACUGUGCAAUUAGUUUUUAUUUUUAUCUAUAUUUAAUACUUCAUGCAUGCGUCUAAAGAUUUGAUGUGACGGGAAAUCUGAAAAAUUUUGCAAAAUUUUCUGAGAACUAAACAUCACCCCCAAAUCCCAAAACAGUUUUACUCUUGUUGCGUAUGAGCAAUUUAUUACCAGCUCAAGCGGUUGGUGCAGGAAGAAGGAGAGCGGGCGAUAAAAUGAACCAGGCAAGUCCUAACCUCCAUAAACAAUUGGGGGCAAUGCCAACCGCGGGCGGUUGUAUUGUGAUGUUUUGGAGGAACAGGCAGGUAUCAGUCACUCUCUAUCAGCUCAGAACUACUAUCCUCCUCGGAGCCACUGCCAUUGCUUUUGUGUUGCACGCUUCAUGGUGGUGCACCCUGCAUGAUUCGAGUAUAAAUAGCCCUACCAGGCUUGCUAGUUGCUACCAGAGCCUUUCACCAGAGAUCAGAGACAGAGAGACAGAGAGAGAUGGUGAUGAUGAUGAUGCGCGGCCCGAUCCUUCUCCUUCUGCUCGUCGGAGUUGGAGUGUGUGUGUUCGCUGAUGCCAAGACCACCACGUAAGUCACAGUGUGCUCUCAUCUUCAAUUGGAUGGUACUUCCCCUAUAUUCUCUCAUUCAUACAUAUAAAUGAAACGAAACCAAACCAAAUUGUAUCCACCCAUUCAUCUAGAUUAGAUGGAGAGUAAUCUCUUUAAAAAAUGUGAUUGUUAUUCAUGUUGUCACCUUAGCAGGGGCAGAUGUAGUGUAGGUGCAUGGGGGUACAACUGUACCCCCAAAAUUUUUAUACAAAUACUUGGUAUGUAUACUUUUAUAUUAUUAUUAUUAUAUUAUAUAUAUAUUUAGAAUAGUUUAGCAAAUAGCAAUCUCGCAAGUUUAAGUGCUUAUCUGAGAGAGUAACUGAGCAAACGACCUGCAACCCUAUAAUAGCACUCUUCUUUCCGAAGCCUCGGAAGCAAAAAAUGAACCAAAGAACAUAGCACAAGUACAAAAUAAAAAUGACAGAAGUUAUAAAAGAUAGAUAUAUAAACUCUUUUUUCCUUCCAAAGCAUGGUAUUACAAUUUUAAUUUGUGAAGUUUGAAUAGUAAUCAUGUUUAACAAUCAGACAUUUUUUUGGAAAAAAAAAUGUGUGUAGAUUACGCGAUAAAUAAGUAGUUUUUACUUUUAUAGAACAUCAUGGCAUUAGGAGCAAUAAUGAGCUAGAUUUUUAGUGAACUACUCGAUAAAGCACAAUAGAUAUCUUCAUCCAUUCUGAAUCUGCAAGAAACUCAUAAUCUUAUCAAGAACAUGGCAAUGAUCAUCUUUGUAUAAUUAUGUAGGAAAGUUGGUGAAUUGUAUCUUUAGAUUCGUACACCUAAUGAUUUUAUCAUCAUUCUGACGUCGUAUAUAUGAUUAUCAAAUUGCAUCGCUUAGUUCGUACCCCUACGAUUAAAAUCCUAGAUCCGCCAUUGCACCUUAGCUGUCUUUUUCCCCUAUAAAGUUUGUCAUGUACUAAUGCAGUAGACUAUUGACAAGUGUUUAUGAUAUGGGCUGCAUCUCUCCGUAUGGGCUGUAAUCACUUAGACGUAUGGGCCUUGGGCAGAUCCAUUUUACUCUGCAUGUAACGAACUCGUAACGUUGGAUUUCAGGACGGAGGUCUGGCAGUGGCAGGACGACAAGGCAACAGUGACCAUGACGUUGGACGUCACUCUCGGCGUUCAACACUUCAAGGCCACCAUGUCCCAGCUCGAGCGCCAAGCGGCGCUCACGACCACCAAGCCCCAUAUCGAAAAGAGACCCGUCCUGGGCAAACAGAAGGCGAGGCCGGACAACUGGGCCCACGUUACCGUCAAGGGUAAUGGCGGGAUCCAGUCAACCUUGGCCAUACGGCUGGAUAAUAUGUAUCUCGUCGGAUUCAAAACCGGCGCCAAUUGGUAUGCCUUCGACGGUAAGGAAAAUCUCAUCCAAGGAUCCACUAAGCUCGGCUUCGGGGAUACAUACAAGUCAUUGACAGGGGGCUCGUACCUCGACCUGACAAGGGUUGAGGUUGGGAAGAAACCCGCUGAGGACGCGCUUGCCACUCUGGCGAGUUACCAUCAUGGAUCCACUCCACAGAAAGAAGUUAAGAAGGCGCUCGUCACCUUUGUGCUCAUGCUUUGCGAAGGCUCUCGCUUGACGCUCGUCCGUCAGGACGUUAUUGCGGCUUGGGAUAAGGGGGGCAAGGUUGGCACAACAGCCGUGAAGCUCACGACGAACUGGCGUAUCGUGUCUUGCGCCUUGCUCCACUGGAGCAAGUCCAAGAAAUGGAAUUCGGCUGAAUCCAAGGAAAUUGAGAAGGUCGGGGAUCCAGAGAUGAAGACCCCCGCGGCGGCGGCCGCCAAUAUCUACCUUAUACUACAGGCAGAGGAGUGCUCACCGGAUGCCACCCCCACUGAAAAAGAGCCCCAAGUGUACUAGGCCUAACAAUAAAACAUCUACGGCCUCCUAUAGUCUUAUAUAUACAGUGAAAUUCCAUUCCUAAGGCACUGCAGUGAAAAAGCAUAUGUACAACUGAUUGAUUCAAGUUUUAGCGGAAUGAGAUUUGGGUGUGCUUCCUGGUGCUUGGGUUCUCUGUUUUUAUUUUCUUUUUCUUUUUUUUGCUGAAGAAAAAACCAAAUCCAAAACCCUAGCAUAAGAAAUUACACAAAUUCCAUCAGAAUCCCCAACCCUAUGAUUAAGAAAAGGGCCUAGUGCUCAGCUCACCUAAGACGACGUCGUUGGGCUACUGCGUGAGCUCGCCGACGGAAGCAAAAGGGAGCCGUGCCGCCGCAUUGCCUGUCCAAGCGCGGUCCCCGCCCUAAGGGCGCCGGCGAACAGCGGCCAUGCGCG
rnacentral:lncRNA from 1 species